UAUUUUUAAUAUUUCCAACAACACAGAGCUUGCAUCAUACAAAGUACUCUAUAGGUGUACCUCCCAUCUCCAUUGAACUUGUUCAUAAAAGGAAAAAAGAAGAGAAUUUGUGGAGACUACUCCAGGCCUAGAAGACUAGUUGAGGUAAGGAUAUCCAUGAUAGCAUAGUGGUUACAUCAGCAGAGGGAAUGGACAAAAUAAAAAGCAACAGAUUCAAAAUAAACCACACACAGAAGAACCAGAGAUGGUGGUGAUAAAUCCCAUAUGACUAAUGUGAUUGAGGACAACCACCGUGCUCACCUCACCCUCAAGCACCUCCAGG